rnacentral:rRNA from 1 species
AGUGAACGCUGGCGGCAGGCCUAACACAUGCAAGUCGAACGGCAGCACAGUAAGAGCUUGCUCUUACGGGUGGCGAGUGGCGGACGGGUGAGGAAUACAUCGGAAUCUACUUUUUCGUGGGGGAUAACGUAGGGAAACUUACGCUAAUACCGCAUACGACCUACGGGUGAAAGCAGGGGAUCUUCGGACCUUGCGCGAUUGAAUGAGCCGAUGUCGGAUUAGCUAGUUGGCGGGGUAAAGGCCCACCAAGGCGACGAUCCGUAGCUGGUCUGAGAGGAUGAUCAGCCACACUGGAACUGAGACACGGUCCAGACUCCUACGGGAGGCAGCAGUGGGGAAUAUUGGACAAUAGGCGCAAGCCUGAUCCAGCCAUACCGCGUGGGUGAAGAAGGCCUUCGGGUUGUAAAGCCCUUUUGUUGGGAAAGAAAAGCAGCAGGUUAAUACCCCGCUGUUCUGACGGUACCCAAAGAAUAAGCACCGGCUAACUUCGUG